UAAAGAGUUACAUUAGCAAAGUAAAUUAGGAUUUUGAUUAUUGGACUCUACCAAGCUGGAGUACGGUAGGGGCAGAGGGAAUUUCCGGUGGAGCGGUGAAAUGCGUAGAGAUCGGAAAGAACACCAACGGCGAAAGCACUCUGCUGGGCCGACACUGACACUGAGAGACGAAAGCUAGGGGAGCGAAUGGGAUUAGAUACCCCAGUAGUCCUAGCCGUAAACGAUGGAUACUAGGCGCUGUGCGUAUCGACCCGUGCAGUGCUGUAGCUAACGCGUUAAGUAUCCC
rnacentral:ncRNA from 1 species